UGGGGAAUAUUGGACAAUGGGCGCAAGCCUGAUCCAGCAAUGCCGCGUGGGUGAAGAAGGUCUUCGGAUUGUAAAGCCCUUUCGGCGGGGACGAUGAUGACGGUACCCGCAGAAGAAGCCCCGGCUAACUUCGUGCCAGCAGCCGCGGUAAUACGAAGGGGGCUAGCGUUGCUCGGAAUUACUGGGCGUAAAGGGCGCGUAGGCGGCGCGCACAGUCAGGGCGUGAAAUUCCUGGGCUUAACCUGGGGGCUGCGCUUGAUACGUGCGUGCUAGAGGAUGGAAGAGGCUCGUGGAAUUCCCAGUGUAGAGGUGAAAUUCGUAGAUAUUGGGAAGAACACCGGUGGCGAAGGCGGCGAGCUGGUCCAUUACUGACGCUGAGGCGCGACAGCGUGGGGAGCAAACAGGAUUAGAUACCCUGGUAGUCCACGCCGUAAACGAUGUGCGCUGGAUGUUGGGUGGCCUAGCCACUCAGUGUCGUAGCCAACGCGGUAAGCGCACCGCCU
rnacentral:rRNA from 1 species